UCCACAGCUCCAUGGCAGAGAGCCUCCCCUCGCUCUCCUCGGAGCCAAAGUCGCAGAGGGAACGGCGUGCGUGCGCGGGCUGACUAGGGCUCUCAUCUGUGCUGUCCAGGAUACCUCGACUCAGGCUGAAGUUCUGGAAGUCUCUGUGGACAAAGAUGAAGGUCCCACAAUUGGAUGCUGCCGUUGCCGUGACCGGUGAACAAAUAGUGGCGAGGUCGCGAGCCCAUCCGGCUGGAACCCUCGCACUCACGGACCAUGAAGCAAGAGAUGGUGGUGCCGUCCACCGACUGCACUUCACAGAUUCUACGACACAAAAAGCACACAGAAUCAAAACUGAGGAAACAGAAAGAGAACAAGCUGGUGUAAACUGUAAAGUUCAAUAUUGCCGAUGAAAAAUCCGCGCGUGUGGUCGACACCAAGAUGGGCCGAUCACAGACCCCGUGAUUAUAAGUGGUACUCUUCUUUGUAUUAUCUCAAAGUCUGGAUGUACUGUGGCACCAUGCUGCCUCUCACUGUGGACGAGAGCCUCACAAAGACCUUGUUGGUGAUGGGGACGACCUUCUGGAUGAACACCUGCUGAUCAUCUCGCUCUCCAAACGGACCUGACGGCACAAAAGCCUUUAACACAUUCACUGCCAUUGACGGCUUUAGAAGUCAAAUAUCCAUGUUAACUGGGAAGGCUGGCAGUGAAUGAGUUAAUAAGCUUCAGGACAGAAGAAUGUUUCUUCUCACCGAUGUCGUUCCCAGAACAGUAGCUGCCGUGGCUCUCUGUUUCCUCCAAGGAGAGUAUUUUGAAGGACGCCAAGGGUGUGGAGCCCGGCUGGGUGGAAAUCAUCCCUCGGAAGCGCGUCACCGUCCAUGUGCGCACGUGGUUGUUAUCGCCGCACACUGACGCCGGAUGUAACAAGUGUGAUCUUUUUAUUCCCUCUGAUCCGCCAUCAUGGCCACGACCACCCUCCCCUCCCCCCCUUACCUGAGACCAGGUGUUUCUCGGACAACAUGAUCUUGGUCACGGGGCUCCUGUGCACAGUGAACGUCUGGAAGAGCUGAGGGCCCGAGCCGACCGUCUCUGGGUGCUGCACGAUGACUCUCACUGCGCCACUGCUGGUCCCGUAGGCGAUCUCGAGCCAGUUCCCGCUCACACCUGAGAGAAGACAACCUGUUUUGGUGCAAAUGGAAGCAUUUUUCCAUCCAGGACACGUAAAAGGAAGUAAACAGUAUACCAAGACCUCUACACUGAAUACCUGCCAGUGCUGCGUUACAGCAUUCCACACUCCGACCUUCCCAGUGUGGCUCGUAGCCACCAGCUGGUUUCCGAUGAAGAAGAGAUCGUCCACAGGCACACCGAGGCUGAACACGCCUGAGGACGAUGCUGCUCUCCGAGGCGGCGGCCACCAUCUUGUCCUUGUCGCCGUGCGGGCCGCCCACCACCUUGGCGUUCAGUGCGAUGCGUUCAAUGGUCCAGUCAAGGCAGGGAGAGGAGAACACUUGUUGCCAUCCGAAUUACCUGUAGCAGAUGACAAAGUGUGCGUACGCCGCUACAAUCCAGUUGUGGUGUCCUGCUAUGAUCAGCACCUUACGAGGGUCCGGUCCUGAACAAUAAACAGUCCAAAAAGCAGGCACACGUGAAAUCAAAUGGCCUCACACACAAACAGGAGGACCGUCUCACCAAGUUUAUGAGCUUCAUCUAAUCCAGGUGAGCCGGGGAAAGGAGGGUGAGGAGGGGCGCCGACAUAGCUGAACCCCUCCGCUCCACUGGAACCCGGUCGCUCGUCACAGGAGGAGGCGGAGCUUGACUUCCGGCCAGGCUUAAGUGAGUUUUACCUGGAGGCGGGAGAUAACCAUGGAAGAGAACGCUGCCACAUGACGAGCGGUCCAAUUCUUCACACAGUAGGAGGCGCCGCACUAUACAAAAAUAUCUUGUCCACAUUCUGACAAAUGAAGAGAUGAGAACGUUGGCUGCAGGAACACACUCAAUAAACAACGUGAGAGUUAUUAAAAAGCUAUAAAAGCCCACAUUCUGCCAAGACUUACCUAAGGGGGUUAUGCCAUAAAAUUCAGCUUCAUGCCGCAGAACGCUGAUGUUGACGCCACUGAGAAGAAACAUACAAGUAGAUUUAUGAAUUGAUCAUGCGAGACACUGUUGACAUCUGAGCAUCAUGUUUGAAUGGCCUCUUACCGCAGGUCAAGUUCUUUGGUUCGGAGGAAAUUUAAAAUUGGUGCAAAAGCUGUGGGGUCUCUGUCAAUAAAUAUCUAAAGGAGGACAAAAAGAUGGCUUCUGUUAUUAGGAAUAAUAAAGGAGUAUGCUGACUGUGUGUAUAACUAUUGCCUGAAAUGAUAUAUUUAUGCAAUUUAAAAGAGCCAUACAGUACUAUGGACUUUUUUUCCCCCCUACAAAAUUUAAAACCGUUUCCAGGUGUCUUUAUAAAAGGUCUCCGACAUUCUUUGUUCAUAAUACACAAAAUGAUGAGGAAUUACAUUACACUAAAUAUUCACCUGUCAACUGUGGUUCAAAUCGCUCAGUUUCGACGUUCGACUCUGUUUUGUGCAAAUGCAGAGUACGGCUUUCGUUACCAUGACGAUCGGGCGUGUAGCUAGAUCAUGUGUUGCCGACUUAGCGACAUUGAUUUAUUUAUUUUUUUUAUUUUCUUGAGGGGUCGGUAAGGUGCCGACUAAGCAUUGUCGCUAAGUCGGCACUUCCCCGAUCCCUCGUGGGGGGAAAAAAUUUUAAAUCUAAAAUCAACAAAUCUAGUGACUUUAUUGUGGUGUUUUUGAGGUGUUUGUGGUGCAGGAGAUUAUUACCCCACCACAUGUGCAAAGUCACCACUGACUGAUUUAACCAAAUGCACUAAAUAUUUACUUGGUUGUUUAAUUUCACACUUUAUGAGUGGGCAGGCACCCCAGACUAUCCAAUUUUAUAACAUUUAUAACAUUUUCCCUUUAAGAAAAUGCAAAUACAAUAUAUUAAAAGACCAAAAAAAUAGGUUCCAUAAAUGAAUAACAGUAUAAUCAAAUGUAAUAAAGACAUUUUGCACUAUGGGUUU